AUGUAUCGUUUCAUUUUUUUUUCGGACUCUCUCUCGUGUCUUCUUUCUUUUCUCUCGACAGCGACGACAAACCGAUACCGAUCCUCGACGAUUUCACGAAGCUGAUCCGUUCUUCUCACCGGAAGUUCUUGUCGAAUUACCAAAGCCGUUUGCAGUUUGAUCGCCGACUCGAGCAAAGAAAAGAAAGAUGAGUGGAAUCGGAGAGAAAGCUACUGGAACAACUAAGACUCCUAAUGAUUUCUUGAAGUCUAUUCGUGGUAGACAAGUUGUUGUCAAGCUCAACUCUAGUGUUCAUUACCGAGGUAUUGGAGCUUCUCAGGAGGAAUAGAGAUAUGAUCUUCAGUGAGGUUAAGUUGACUUGGCUGAAGCCUUGGAGCAGGUUACUAUAGAGCAAAAGAGGACGCUUGUGAAGGGAUUGUGAAGAGUGAAGAGGUGGUGAGGUGUUUGAAAGGAGUGAUGGAAGGAGAGAGUAGUGUUAAGAUUAGAGAGAGUUCUAAGAAGUGGAAAGAUUUGGCUGUCAAGGCAAUGAGUGAAGGAGGAAGCUCUGAUCGGAGCAUUAACGAAUUUAUAGAGAGUUUAGUGAAGAAACAUUGAUUUUAACUUUGUAAAUCACGGUAAUGUAUGUGUUUGUUGUUGUUGUUGUUGUUGUUGUAUAAGAAGAGCAUUGUACCGAGAUGUUUGUGAGUUGUGAUUCAAUAAACCAAUUAUGAUUACGUAAAAGAACUGAUUACGUUAUUCAUUA